AUUGAACGCUGGCGGCAUGCCUAACACAUGCAAGUCGAGCGGAGCGGCGGACGGGUGAGUAAUGCCUAGGAAUCUGCCUGGUAGUGGGGGAUAACGUCCGGAAACGUGCGCUAAUACCGCAUACUAUCAAGUGAGCCUAGGUCGGAUUAGCUAGUUGGUGGGGUAAAGGCCUACCAAGGCGACGAUCCGUCACUGCUCUGAGAGGAUGAUCAGUCACACUGGAACUGAGACACGGUCAAGAAUCCUACGGGAGGCAGCAGUGGGGAAUAUUGGACAAUGGGCGAAAGCCUGAUCCAGCCAUGCCGCGUGUGUGAAGAAGGUUUUCGGAUUGUAAAGCACUUUAAGUUGGGAGGCGGUACCAAAAGAAUAAGCACCGGCUAACUUCGUGCCAGCAGACGCGGUAAUAC
rnacentral:rRNA from 1 species